rnacentral:tRNA from 1 species
GGUGAUACAGUUCAUUGGUAGAAAGUUUGUCUCACAGACAGGUCACUCUGGGUUCAAUCCUCGGUAUCACAA